GAUCAUGGCUCAGGAUGAACGCUAGCUACAGGCUUAACACAUGCAAGUCGAGGGGAACGAUAUUGGUAAGCUUGCUUCCGAUAGGCGUCGACCGGCGCACGGGUGAGUAACGCGUAUCCAACCUGCCCACCACUUGGGGAUAACCUUGCGAAAGUAAGACUAAUACCCAAUGACGUCUCUAGAAGACAUCUGAAAGAGAUUAAAGAUUUAUCGGUGAUGGAUGGGGAUGCGU
rnacentral:rRNA from 1 species